rnacentral:piRNA from 1 species
UGAAUGGGAAUGUGAUGGGAAUCGCCAC